GAUGAACGCUGGCGGCGUGCCUAAUACAUGCAAGUCGAGCGCCUUCACAGUUUGCUCAAUCAAGCCAGGGCCCGGGAACUUUUCCGAAGGAAAGUUAGCCGGAUCAAUCACGAAGUGAUUGAAGGCCUGGCGCACCUCUAUACAAUAAGUAGUUUUCUACUACCAAAUAUAGAGGCAGAUUGAGGAAAGUGUGAAGGAGCGGCGGACGGCAGAGUAACGCGUAGGAACGACCCCGAAGUGAGGGAUAAGCCCGGGAAACCGGGUCUAAUACCGCAUAAUCUCUUAGGGAGCAAAGCUUUAGCGCUUUGGGAGCGGCCUGCGUAUGAUUAGCUUG
rnacentral:rRNA from 1 species